GACGAACGCUGGCGGCGUGCUUAACACAUGCAAGUCGAGCGGUAAGGCCCUUUCGGGGGUACACGAGCGGCGAACGGGUGAGUAACACGUGGGUGACCUGCCCUCAGCUCUGGGAUAAGCCUGGGAAACUGGGUCUAAUACCGGAUAUGACUCCAUGACGCAUGUUGUGGGGUGGAAAGCCUUGUGCGGCUGAGGAUGGGCCCGCGGCCUGUCAGCUUGUUGGUGGGGNGAUGGCCUACCAAGGCGACGACGGGUAGCCGGCCUGAGAGGGCGACCGGCCACACUGGGACUGAGACACGGCCCAGACUCCUACGGGAGGCAGCAGUGGGGAAUCUUGCGCAAUGGGCGAAAGCCUGACGCAGCGACGCCGCGUGAGGGAUGACGGCCUGG
rnacentral:rRNA from 1 species